rnacentral:rRNA from 1 species
AUGGCAAGCAGCGGCUACAAGCAUCAGAGUGAAGCUCUGGACAGCGAGCACCGAUUUCAUCACCACAACGAUAGGCAUCAGUCAAUGGAGAUCGACAAUGGUGCUUCGGGGGCCAAGGGCAAGGAGGUAGUGGCCGACAAGAAGGGCAAGGUGGUGGUGGAGCUCGGCAGCGCCCCCAAGGGGCCGAAGAACUACAGCCAUCUCCAUGAGUGCGGUGGCACAAGCCACUUUUGCAAGGUCAUCCUUGCACCCAUGUUGGAGUGUCUGUCGAUGCCAGUUGAGUUCACCAAGCACUUGACCACCCGUACGUGCUGA